CUCGCUCGCACACCUUCCCUUCCUCAUCCGUCUCAAAGUUGUGAUCUUCCUCUUUUUCUUUUUUCUAGGUGUCUUAAUUACUCUGAGGAAGUGGCGUUCUGGCUGGCGGUCAGCUGCUGCGACGGGUCCAUUUGCAUGUCUGUGUAGUGAGAGGUUGGCAGCGAAUCCUCCCGUCCAGAUUGCGGCCCCUCUCCGCGGUGAGACCGCCUUGGAGGAGACUGCGUUGUGGGAUUAGGGUUUUAGCAGCGAAGAUGCAAUCUUCUCGGAGAACUUCUAUCAGAACGUGAUGACAUUCGGGCGGCUUUUCUAUUGAAACUCGAGCGAGCAAACUCUUAUUUUCCACUCCAGGACUCUGGUAAUGGACAGACAGCAGCGGUCCGUGAGCCGCCCGCGGGCGCGUCACGCGGCUAAUGAAAGCGACGAACAUUAGCAGACCCCGCGCUCCUCUCCUCUCGGCCCAACAACAUCAUCUAUUAGCGCAGCGGCAUUCAUCACGCAGAGGGUCCUGCACUCCGCCGGUGACCUGCGUCACGAUAAUCGUGUGUGUCUAUAAAAAUGCAAUGAUGGGCCAAUGUCACGGGACGUUUCUCUGGCACUGAUAUUAUUCGUGACAGGUCUCGUUUUGACUCAAGGUGUCCUGGUCUUUCAGCGCCUCUGGCGAACAGCAGAGCUGGUGCCACACUCUCAAACAAACCCGAUGAAAAGUGACGCGAUGCGUACGGCGUCAGGAAAGAUCUGAGGCCGCGGCGCCACCUGAGGAAAGAAGAAAGAGAAAACCAUCUGGCAUCCGAGGCCUCGACGACACAUCAGCCCUAACAAGUGUUUUUCAUCAAACGUCCCCGGAGACGCUCACGCUGGGCCGCUGUCCGUGAUGCAUUAAUCAUGUCCGAAUCCUCAAGACAAAGGGCCACACGUUUCUCGUCUGCAUGUGAAAUGAUGCGACGCGGGCCUGCCACGAGGUUAAACUCUCAAACGUGCUCUUUGAUGGGCUUUAAUGAGAUGUCAGCGUCCAGACAGAUUUCUCUGCUGUCCGGUAAAAACAGGCCACAGAGCACGAAGCCUGCUUAAAAACACACCUAGAUGUGUCCCGAUCUUCCACGCGAUCACAGCGUCAGAAGUGUGACGUUCAUCAGUCAAACCGAUGCACAGAGACACUAGACUGAAACACGUCCGUCUCUGGAUCUCCUCUAAGAGCUUCACACUGAUGAACUUUAACAAAAUCUGAUUUUCUGAAGGGAUCAGUGCUUGAACUGCCACAGAUCACCUUCGUUGUUUUUAUUAGUCCUCUGUGACUGCUAUCCAGUAGGAAAAAACUAUCUAAAAAUCUUUGACACAAAUAAAUUUACUUGAGAAGAUUUUAGAUAUUGUAACUGAAAAAUAUUACAGAACUUUUGUAGUGUUUGCAGUUCUCACCACAAUCAUACAGCAGGCCUAUGUGCAAUUAUCCAAAUUAUUUAUCAUCACUUACUCUAAAGCACAUCUCAACCCUGAUGUACUUUAAUUAUAAUAAUUUAAAUAGAUCAUAUCUGUUAGCAUCAGACAUUUAUCACAUAUUAAAAUGUAAAAUAUAAUAACUUGCGAUGUCUCUUUCAAAACACUUGAGUUGAAUACGUCAGGGUCAGAGGUUGCAAAUCUUACAGCACACCACAUUAUUCACAGCCAAUAUUCUGAUUACUGUCAUUUUUCUCAUAACAGAUUAGAACUAUUACGCUUAUCAUGGAAAGAAACGUCUGAUAAAGACUGUAAGAGAAACUUACCUCUGGUUGAACCUUUGAAUGAUGUCACUUCCAUGAACUGUCUCGGAACGAUCAGAAAGAAACAUUGUAAAGGGAAAAGUCAAUAACAGGGUUGAACAGAAAGCACAGGAC
ensembl:lncRNA